CUCGUAGGCGGUUUGUCGCGUCGGAAGUGAAAACACGGGGCUUAACUCUGUGCUUGCUUUCGAUACGGGCAGACUAGAGGGAUGCAGGGGAGAACGGAAUUCCUGGUGUAGCGGUGAAAUGCGCAGAUAUCAGGAGGAACACCGGUGGCGAAGGCGGUUCUCUGGGCAUUCCCUGACGCUGAGGAGCGAAAGUGUGGGGAGCGAACA
rnacentral:rRNA from 1 species